rnacentral:lncRNA from 1 species
AACCUCCCGUUAUGACAAGCAGCAUUAUAAACACCUAGCACAGAGUUCUCAAAUGUUUUUCAUGUAGAGCUUGAGACUCCAAAAAAAUGAAGCCUUGAGUAAAGUCUCUAAGCAAGCUGAGAGAUGUCUCACCCUCUGCUUAUAUAACGGGUCUCCAAGGCCCCUAUCACACAGAGGCAGAACACAAGCAGAUCCUCUCCUCUAGCACCAGCUUAGCAGGUGGAAAAGAUAUAAAUGAACAUAAGUAAAGAGCAUAGUUGUCGCGUGUAUAAAAUUAUUUUAAUAGGAAAUACUGUUGGGGUGAGGCUCUGUGCGUACAGCAGGGGUAAAAAUACUGAAGGUCAAAGAAUAUAGAUGGUUUUGCCUAUGAAUAAAACUUUGUGCUUCAGUCCCUCCUCCUUGCUGGUGAUGAGUGGGGGAAUCCAGCCUAGAACAUUUCUGAGGGAGACAGAAGAUCAAGUUGAUGAAGACUGGACUGCGACCUGAGUUAAAACCUGAAUGUUGCUAAUUCUUCGGGAAGUCACUUUAAGGUUCAGACUGCCAUAGGGAGGAAUCAGAGGGCAUUUGAUCUUUCCCACCCAAUAUUAAAAUCAACAAUGUCCGUUCCUGCCAUCCUUUGAAAACUAGAUUCCAUAGAUGG